ACAAUGGAGAGUUUGAUCCUGGCUCAGGAUGAACGCUAGCGGCAGGCCUAAUACAUGCAAGUCGAACGGGCGCAGCAAUGCGUCAGUGGCGCACGGGUGCGUAACGCGUAGGCAAUCUGCCUACACCUGGGGGAUAGCCCGCCGAAAGGUGGAUUAAUACCGCAUGACACCGCGGGCCGGCAUCGGCUGGCGGUUAAAGAAUUUCGGGUGUAGAUGAGCCUGCGUGCCAUUAGCUAGUUGGCGGGGUAAGGGCCCACCAAGGCGACGAUGGCUAGGGGAGCUGAGAGGCCGAUCCCCCACACUGGCACUGAGAUACGGGCCAGACUCCUACGG
rnacentral:ncRNA from 1 species